rnacentral:lncRNA from 1 species
UCUUACAGAUUAGAUGAAAGGUAAUUUAAUGAAGUAGGUGUUCCGAUGAUAUCCAAACACUAGUGUAAAUAUUAAAAAAAUGUAAAAUGAAAAUGUCUUUCAAAUUUGCAUUUGGUCAUGCGUCAUGAGCUCGCCCCCCAAAAAGGGUGGUGCUGUUUCACAUUUUGGCUUUGUGCUAUAGUAUUUCUUACUUAUUUUCAAAACAUAGAGGCUAUUCCAACAAAUUUAGUAUCAUUUUAAAGCUGAAUUAAUAAGGCAAUAGCCUGGAAAGUUUCAUUGCUGUAGACUUUAUAGAACUUGAGUUAUAGCUCUCAAAAGUCAGGACACCAGAGGUGAUGAGGGGUGGUGCCGGAAGCGGCACUCCCGGAAGAGGCGCCGCCUGUACAAAGUCAAUGGGAAAACGCAAUUUUUGGGAAAACAUCAAUAUUUUUGUUAAAACUUGGCCUAAACCUACAAACCUGGUAUGAAAUUAAAGCUAACAUACUCUACUUUACUGUCCAAUGAUUGAAAAGUAGGUUUGGCCAUGUCAUAGACCUGUGUGAUAAGGUUGAAACAUAAAAAUCUGAUAAAUUUGCAAUGUCUUAAUUUUGACAUUUCUUCCAGAUUGACACAUAUUUGAAUGACAGUUAUUGUUUAGCACUAAACUUGCAUCAAUUACAAAAAAAAAACACUUCCUACAAUUCUGAGGGGAUGAAAAUACUGCUUAGUAUCAAGGUAAAUCCAAAUUAUUAACUGACAAAGGUCAAUGACCUUCAACUAUCCAGAAAAUGUGUUAUGAAUUUUAGAAGGUUUCGCAUUAUUUUCUUAAAAGUUUGUACAUCUUCACUGAUGUCUUAUUACACAUUCAUAUAUACAUAUUUCACUAAAUACACACACUGACAUUAUAAAAAAACAAUAAGUGUCUGUGUGAAAUGGUCAAAUUGACAUAACCUACCUCAAAUGCUAUCAUACCAAAGGACUGCAUACUAUAUUUUGGCUUUGAACUCAUCAAAACCCGCCAUGGCUUUAAACUAUCAAACACAGACUAUGUGGAUAUAAUGUGUGCAAUUGCACUUUAGAAACUUCUUUCAUGAAGCUGCAGUAGUCAUAUGAAUAUAUGUAUGUUUGUACAUAUAGCAUCGGCAAAAUUGUUUCAGUCUUUACUCCUGAACCUAUAGACAUUGUCUCUUGCAUGUCAUCAUCACUUGGCAGAUCAUUGUAAUAAGAGCCUCGGUAAGCAAACUGUGUAACUUACAUUUCAAUUGCUACUUUUCCUUUGAAUUGUUUAUGUACCUACAUGUACCAUCAAUUCCUUUUAAAAUGUUAAUAACUUAUAAAUUCUGAUGUACAAGGCAAAGAAAACCCAACAAAUGUUGGUAUUGCAAGCAUUAUAACACCUGAUAUAUAGUAUACGAUUCCUGAAACGCAUGAUUUUUUGGGGCUAAAGUCGGGGUCAAUUUUCAGAUCACUAAUUGAACAUGAACCCUACACAUUGAACAUGAACUCUACACAAUGAUAUAUGGUUAGAAAGGUCUGAAUGUGUUCUGUCAUAAUAUAGCAUUAUUUUUGUCAUAGGGGGACUACACAAAAUUUUAUGACAAAAAUCAUGAGAUUAAAAAAAAUAUCAGAAUUUCCCUAUUCAAGUCCAUGUAAAACUGUUGCCUUACACCUAAUGCUAUUUUUGAGUGCAGAUUUGGAUUCCUUGUACAAUUUACUUACAGAAAAUGUAUAUUUUUGCUAUCAUAGGGUGUAUACUUUGUCAGAUAAAUGUUUUUAAAGUUGAAAGUGCGUCGUAAAAGCAAAAAUCACCAUGUAACGCAAAAGAGGGCGACCUCAUGACACAUGACCAUUUUUAUUCUGCUUUGGAACACCACUCAAAAUUUACUGAAUAAACAAGAUAUUCUUGGAUUCAGUAUUCCUAAACAGAGCUCAUUGACAUAAUCAAACUAAAUCCUACAAGAUAAUCAUAUGCACAGGUAUAUUCAUAGAUAUAUAUGUAAUACCAAGGAUUGUCCAAAAACUGAGAUUACAGUCAUUCAAUUUUUCACUGAUAUUUAUUCGAUGAAAAACUAUAUUAUAAUGGUCACUAUGUGUUUGUUUGAUUUGAGUGUUAGAACAAUUGUGUAAUCAUUAGACAUUUGCUUUUCUUUUUUGGAAAUGAAACUUCAGUAUCACUCAAUUUUUCAAGCCAUGUGCCUGUCAUAAUGUUGCAAUAGUUGUAGUUCAUGUACACCUUACAAAGUAUUGUUUUGUAGUUGACAGUAUUGUUAUUCUUAGUAGUUUGUUACAUUCCAUCAAGCUUAUUGAUUGUAGAAAUAGUGAUGCUAUUCAUGAUUUGAAGUGCCAUGGUUGAAAUGAAAUGAAAGAAAUGAAAAAGUGUCUUGAUUAUAUUUAUUAUAAACUAUAUCUGCAGUUUAUUAUGUAAGCACGUGCAUGCAGGGCCAAAUGAUGAACAAUUUGUGAAAAGAGCCAAUGGAUAUACCACACCAAGGCCCGCAGGACUGAGUGCGGUAUAUCUGUUUCGCGAGUCGAGCAGAGUUCAUUAUUUAGGUCUUCUGUGCAAAAGAAUAGGUGCAUUGUCUGUUUUAUACACCCCCCCAUGUUACUGAGUUGCCCGGAAUCUCAGAGUGCAGGAUAGUGCAUUUUCGAUGCAAUAGUGCAAUUCGCUGAAUAUCAUGUGAUCCGAUUUGGACCAAUCAGAAAACAGAACAUUCUUGGGAGUUGUAUAACAUUUACUACAGUAAUUUUAUUGAUAGAAUAAAAGACUAUUGAUAGCACCACAUGUUGUAUUUUCCAUGUGACUAGUUUAUGUGAAGUAAACAUAGAUUAGAAUAAGUAAAUAUGCCUCUUUUUAAGUCCAGAACGAAGAAAAACGUACAAAAUCAUUAUCUUUUUACUUUACCAAACUUUUAUUUCUCCCUUGAUAUUUCAUGGCCUCUCCUUGAUGCAGUUAUCAUGAGGGAAAUAUAUUUACCAUACAACU